rnacentral:rRNA from 1 species
UUCCGGUUGAUCCUGCCGGACCCCACUGCUAUCGGGAUAGGACUAAGACAUGCUAGUCAAGCGCUUUCUAGCUAAUGUGAGAGCGCGGCGUACAGCUCAGUAACACGUGGCCAACCUGCCCUUGGGACGGGAACACCCCCGGGAAACUGGGGUUAAUUCCCGAUAGGUGAAGAAGUCUGGAAUGACUCUUCGCUCAAAAGACGUUUAUGUCAUGCUCAUAUUCGUCGCCCAGGGAUGGGGCCGCGACCGAUCAGGUAGUUGGUGAGGCAAUGGCUCACCAAGCCUUUUACCGGUGCGGGCCGUGAGAGCGGGAGCCCGGAGAUGGGCACUGAGACAAGGGCCCAGGCCCCACGGGGCGCAGCAGUCGCGAAAAUUUUGCAAUACACGAAAGUGUGACAGAGCUAUCCCGAGUGCCAUCCGCUGAGGAAGGCUUUUACCCAGUAUAAAUAGCUGGGAGAAUAAGGAGAGGGCAAGUCUGGUGUCAGCCGCCGCGGUAAUACCAGCUCUCCGAGUAGUGUGGACGUUUAUUGGGCCUAAAGCAUCCGUAGCUUGCUAGAUAAGUCCUCUGUUAAAUCCACCGAUUCAAUCGUUGGAUUGCGGGGGAUACUGUUUGGCUAGGGGACGGGAGAGGUCGACGGUAUUUCCGGGGUAGGGGUGAAAUCCUAUAAUCCCGGGAGGACCACCAGUGGCGAAGGCUGUCGACUAGAACGCGCCCGACGGUGAGGGAUGAAAGCUGGGGGAGCGAACCGGAUUAGAUACCCGGGUAGUCCCAGCUGUAAACGAUGCAGGCUAGGUGUUUGGGCGGCCACGAGCCGCCCUAGUGCCGCAGGGAAGCUGUUAAGCCUGCCGCCUGGGGAGUACGGCCGCAAGGCUGAAACUUAAAGGAAUUGGCGGGGGAGCACCACAAGGGGUGAAGCUUGCGGUUUAAUUGGAUUCAACGCCGGG